UACAGAGACCUCAAGCGUUAUCCGGAAUCAUUGGGCGUAAAGCGUACCGAUAGGUGGUUUCCAAAGUCAGAGGUGAAAUCUCAAGGCUCAACCUUGAGUCUGUCCUUUGAUACUUGUAAACUAGAGGGGCAAAGAGGAAGCUGGAACGAACGGUGUAGUAGUGAAAUGCGUUGAUAUCGUUCGGAACACCAAUAGCGUAGGCAGGCUUCUGGGUGCCACCUGACACUGCUAGGACGAAAGCGUGGGGAGCGAAUGGG
rnacentral:rRNA from 1 species